AGUGGCGCACGGGUGAGUAACGCGUGGGUAAUCUACCUCUGAAUUUGGGAUAACUCCGCGAAAGCGGGGCUAAUACCGGAUAAUAUUUCAGGAUCUUCGGAUUUUGAAAUCAAAAGUGGCCUCUACAUGUAAGCUACUGUUUGGAGAUGAGCCCGCGUACCAUUAGCUUGUUGGUGGGGUAAUGGCCUACCAAGGCUACGAUGGUUAGCUGGUCUGAGAGGAUGAUCAGCCACACUGGAACUGACACACGGUCCAGACUCCUACGGGAGGCAGCAGUGAGGAAUUUUGCGCAAUGGGGGAAACCCUGACGCAGCAACGCCGCGUGAGUGAUGAAGGCUUUCGGGUCGUAAAGCUCUGUCAAGUGGGAAGAAUAUAAUAAAUGUUAAUAUCAUUUUUUACUGACGGUACCACUAAAGGAAGCACCGGCUAACUCCGUGCCAGCAGCCGCGGUAAUACGGGGGGUGCAAGCGUUAUUCGGAAUUAUUGGGCGUAAAGGGCGCGUAGGCGGUCUUUUAAGUCAGAUGUGAAAGCCCGGGGCUUAACCCCGGAAGUGCAUUUGAAACUGAAAGACUUGAGUAUGGGAGAGGGAAGUGGAAUUCCUGGUGUAGAGGUGAAAUUCGUAGAUAUCAGGAGGAACACCGGUGGCGAAGGCGACUUCCUGGACCAAUACUGACGCUGAGGCGCGAAGGCGUGGGGAGCAAACAGGAUUAGAUACCCUGGUAGUCCACGCAGUAAACGAUGAACACUAGGUGUAGCGGGUAUUGACCCCUGCUGUGCCGCAGUUAACGCAUUAAGUGUUCCGCCUGGGGAGUACGACCGCAAGGUUAAAACUCAAAGGAAUUGACGGGGCCCGCACAAGCGGUGGAGCAUGUGGUUUAAUUCGACGCAACGCGAAGAACCUU
rnacentral:rRNA from 1 species